AGAAGAAGAAGAAGAAAGAAGAAAUUCACGAGAGUAGGACUGGAGCAAGCAGGAAAAUUUUGGGCAUUGAAAUUUGACUGAGGUAUGGAACGACAACGAAGCCAACGAUGCCGUUCUGAUAGAUGAAGGAAGGGAGGGUACUAAGCGAGUGGUAGCCAUUGAAAAAGAGAGAAGGAUCUAGUUCUCCAUUGGAAGCGGAUAAUGUUUUUAGUUUUUCUCCAUGGGUCAGUUAGCGGCACUAAUUUUUUUGGAAAUCGGGUCGAACAUGGUAAACGGGCCGGACGGGUAUAAAAUAAAAGCAGGUGAGAAUCCAUCGGCCCAAUCUUCUUCAUCAUCUUCUUCACAGGUCUAGGUCUCUACUGAGGCGCAUGCAGAAACAGAAAACUGAAAAUGCCAUCAACUCCCAACGAUUCAGUCCAUAAAUUUAACGAAGAAGAUGAAUCCACAUUAUCUUCACCCACUUUUUCCUCUUCUAUAAAGUUUGGCAUGCCGGAGGCUUUGGAUCACGUGCGCAAUCUAACCGAUGUCGGCGCCAUGACGCGGCUGCUCCAUGAGUGCAUCGCUUACCAGCGGGCUCUCGAUCUCGACCUUGACAACCUCCUCGCCCAACGCACAGAUCUCGACAAGUACCUCCUCCACCUCCAGAAAUCCGCGGAGGUGUUAAACAUCGUCAAGGCGGAUUCCGACCACAUGCUUUCCAAUGUCCGCUCCACAUGUGACCUCGCCGACCAUGUCAGCGCCAAGGUUCGGGAGCUUGACCUUGCCCAAUCGCGGGUUAAUACUACGCUUCUACGCAUUGAUGCGAUUGUGGAAAGAGGGAAUUGCAUCGAGGGGGUGAAAAACGCUCUCGAAGCAGAGGAUUACGAGGCGGCCUCGAAGUGUGUGCAGACAUUUCUGCAGAUUGAUGCGAAAUAUAAGGAUUCCGGAUCGGACCAGAGAGAUCAGUUGCUAGCGUCGAAGAAGCAGCUGGAAGGAAUAGUGAGGAAGCGGCUUUCAGCUGCAGUGGAUCAGCGGGACCAUCCAACAAUUCUAAGGUUUGUUAGGUUGUAUUCGCCUUUAGGACUCGAGGAGGAAGGGUUGCAGGUGUAUGUGGGGUACUUGAAAAAAGUGAUCUCCAUGAGAUCCAGGCUUGAAUUUGAGAAUUUGGUGGAGUUGAUGGAGCAGAGUCAUAAUCAGAAUCAGGUUAAUUUUGUUGGGUGUUUAACAAAUUUGUUUAAGGACAUUGUGUUGGCUAUAGAGGAAAAUGAUGAAAUCUUGAGGAGUCUUUGUGGGGAGGAUGCAAUUGUUUACGCCAUUUGUGAAUUACAAGAGGAGUGUGAUUCGAGGGGUUCUUUGAUUUUGAAGAAAUAUAUGGAGUAUAGGAAAUUGGCUAAAUUAUCAUCUGAGAUUAAUGCCCAAAACAAGAAUUUGCUUGCCGUUGGAGCUCCUGAAGGGCCUGACCCGAGAGAGGUUGAGUUGUAUUUAGAAGAAAUACUGUCACUGAUGCAAUUAGGUGAGGAUUACACUGAAUUUAUGGUUUCGAAGAUCAAAGGGUUGAGUUCUGUGGAUCCAGAGUUAGUGCCACGAGCCACCAAGUCGUUUAGGAGUGGGACUUUUAGCAAAGUAAUUCAAGAUAUUACUGGGUUUUAUGUGAUUUUGGAGGGAUUCUUCAUGAUUGAAAAUGUAAGAAAGGCAAUUAUGAUAGAUGAGCAUGUGCCUGAUAGCCUUACCACUUCUAUGGUAGACGAUGUGUUUUAUGUUUUGCAGAGUUGCUUGAGAAGGGCAAUAUCUACUUCAAAUAUUAGCUCUGUCGUUGCAGUCUUGAGUGGUGCAAGUAGUUUGUUGAGUAAUGAAUACCAUGAAGCUUUGCAACAGAAAAUGAGAGAACCAAACCUUGGUGCAAAGCUGUUUUUGGGUGGUGUUGGUGUGCAAAAAACUGGGACAGAGAUUGCAACUGCAUUGAAUAAUAUGGAUGUGAGUAGCGAGUAUGUAGUAAAGCUAAAACAUGAGAUUGAAGAGCAAUGCGCUGAGGUGUUCCCUGCACCAGCAGAUAGAGAAAAGGUAAAAUCUUGCUUGUCAGAGUUGGGUGAUAUGAGCAAUACCUUCAAGCAAGUCCUUAAUGCUGGUAUGGAACAACUUGUGGUAACUGUGACACCCCGAAUCCGUCCAGUGUUGGAUAGCGUAGCAACCAUUAGCUAUGAGUUAUCUGAGGCAGAAUAUGCAGAUAAUGAGGUGAAUGACCCAUGGGUACAGAGGCUUCUCCACUCUGUUGAGACAAACGUGUCAUGGCUCCAGUCACUAAUGACUGCCAACAACUAUGAUUCAUUUAUACAUUUGGUCAUUGACUUCAUUUUGAAGAGGCUUGAAGUGAUAAUGAUGCAGAAAAGGUUUAGUCAGCUGGGAGGACUUCAGCUCGACAGAGAUAUAAGGGCUUUGGUGAGCCAUUUCUCUGGCGUGACUCAGAGGACAGUUAGAGACAAGUUUGCUCGUCUCACUCAGAUGGCAACCAUCCUGAACUUAGAGAAGGUAUCUGAAAUUCUAGAUUUCUGGGGUGAAAACUCGGGGCCUAUGACCUGGAGGUUAACCCCUGCUGAGGUUAGGCGAGUGUUGGGUCUCAGGGUUGAUUUUAAACCCGAAGCAAUUGCUGCUCUCAAGUUGUAAGUCCAAAAUUGUCUCAAUUGUCGAAACCCAUUGGUCCAACUAACAGGCCAAGCGUCUAAUCAGGGGCUGUCAUCUUCUUAUCGUUCCCUUUAAUCCUGUGCUCGCAUGCUAGGACAUUCUUGUCAUCUUUUAUUGUUUGGUUUUUAUACAUAUUAUUUUCUUUACCCCAAAUUGAAAUAUCUUUGGUUCUUUCUCUGAUAUGUCUUGAGUUUGAUCUUUGUACUUUUAAACCUCCAAAGUGUUA
rnacentral:misc_RNA from 1 species